AUUCAGUAAUUAGGGUUUAUGAUCGGUAGCGAGCGGCGGCAGUGGCGAUCGAAGUCAAACUCUCAACUGUCGGUGUCUCAAAAACCCUAGAAGCUUACUUUCGCAGAAGACUUUUCAUUACGUUCGUCAGAGACUCUCCAUCGUCUUCACCAUACUAUCCAGAUAAUGGAUCAAUCAACCUAUUGCCCAGGAUGCUAUUGCUAUUCCCCCUUCUACUAUCCAAGACCCUAUUGAUAAUCCUUCAAAACCACCUAAGGUGCGUGCAACGACAUUAUAAUAGUGGCUACAAAGCAUGGGGUGCUUAGCAAACGAACCAACUUGAGGAGAGUUGUUCUAGCAUCUUUCACAUUUUAAUCAAUGAUCAAGAUUUAUUAAUGGUAUAGCCCCAAAAUAAGAAAUUUAAACAUACACUUUAGAUUUAAAAUUUUGAGUAAAUUUCUACAAUUAUAUAUAUAUAUAUAUAAAUGGUGCAAAGUCAAGGUAUGGCAAGUCAAUAAAUUUUCGUGGAGUGUAUGGGAUGGUUGGGAAUAUUCCAUCGUUGGCAUGCUAACAAGAAAAGUCUGCCAACUCAUAAUAAUUUCAUUCAUUCUAUUAAAACUACCUUCCUUAUAUUAUAUAAGGAUAUACAAUAAUAUUUCCAAAAUAAAAAUAUACAAUAAUAUUAAAUAUUUAAUAUGAUAUUUUCCUUUCUUGUUGACUCAUCUUCAUUACCUAUAUAUACAUAUUGCACAACCACCUUCUCAUACAAAAAAGAAAGACAAAACAAUGGCAAAAGGAUUCAAGAUUUUGAUCUCCCAAAUCAUCUCAUCCUUCCAAGUCUGCCGCUCCAAAAAUCCUACCAACUUCCCAGAAAAUCUUGUCCCUUCAUUCCUCCAACUCUCCCCAAACCCUGUCUUCAUUGACUGCCUGCUGGUAACCCCGUCCCCUUUCAAACCCCACCACUCCUCCUUCAAGUGCCACGUGUCCUCUAUCUUCUCAUCUGUCGGCUAUGGGUUCAGCAAACAGUACACCUCUAAAAAUGACCUCACCGAAUCAUCGGAAUUCAAAUGGGACGAGACGCCGCGUCACGAAAUCUACAACUCCUCCAUCUCCAACUAAAAUGAGAUCUUGAUGUAAAAAGUGAUAUUUUGCGACGGCCAAACAAUCAAUCGCAAAAAAAUAGAUGCAAAAAGUCAUUUCUAGUAGUGUAUAAUGUUUGCCAUAUCAUCAUCCACAGCUCCACCACAACGUAUUAUCCUCUUGUAGCUUUCGUGACGUGACGUCUUGUCCCACUUGAAUUUCGGUGAUUCGGUGAGGUCGUCUUCAGAGGUGUACUAUGUGCCGAACCCACAGCCGACGGAUGAGAAGAUGGAGGACACGUGGUGCUUGAAGGAGGAGCGGUGGGGUUUGAAAGGGGGUGGGGUUGCCGGUGGACAGUGAAUGAAGACGGGGUUUGGGUAGAGUUGGAGGAAUAAAGGGACAGGAUUUUCUGGGAAGUUGGAAGGGUUUUUGGAGCGGCAGAAUUGGAAGGAUGAGACGAUUUGGGAGAUCAAAACCUUGAAUCCUCUUGCUAUUGUUUUGUCUUUCUUUUUUUUGCAUGAGAAAGUGGUUGCUUGUACGGAUUAGCUAUUGCAAUAUGUAUGUAUAUAUAGGCAAUGAAGCUGAGUCAACAAGAAAGGAAUGUAUUUUUAUUUUGAAAAUAUUAUUGUAUAUCCUUGUAUAAUAUAAGGAAGGUAGUUUUAAUAGAAUGAAAGAAAUAAUUUUAUUUUGGAAAUAUUAUUGUAUAUCCUUGUAUAAUAUAAGGAAGGUAAUUUUAAUAGAAUGAAAGAAAUAAUUAUGAGUUGACAGUCUUUUCUUGUUAACAUGCCAAGGAUGGUAUAUUCCCAACCAUCCCAUACACUCCACGAAAAUUUAUUAACUUGCCAUACCUUCACUUUGCACCAUAUAUAUAUAUAUAUAAAACUGUAGAAAUUUACUCAAAAUUUUAAAUCUAAAGUGUAUAAUUAAAUUUCUUAUUUUGGGGUUAUACCAUAAAUAAAUCUUGAUCAUUGAUUAAAAUGUGAAAGAUGCUGGAACAACUCUCCUCAAGUUGGUUCGUUUGCUAAGCACCCCAUGCUUUGUAGCCACUGUUAUAAUGUCGUUGCACGCACCUUAGGUGGUUUUGAAGGAUUAUCAAUAGGGUCUUGGAUAGUAGAAGGGGGAAUAGCAAUAGCAUCCUGGGCAGUAGGUUGAUUGAUCCAUUAUCUAUUAGAAAUUAAAAUAAAAAAAAA